AUGCUCAUAAUCUGGGCCUACGAUUAUUCUAGUGUUCUUUGAAUUUUUUUUUUCUCUUCAACGUCCCUGGAAAAUGCAUUAAAUGAUAAGAAAACAUGAUGCUAGAUAAUGUAUAUAUAUACAUAUUUUAUUUAUGGGACAGAUGACGAUGACAGCUGAGCUUUACACACAUCAUCUUCUUUGAAGGUUUCUCUCAAAGGAAUGCCCAUUCAUCCGUGCUUAUGGGGCUCUGCGCUUCGAUGCUACUACAAAAAUAUCAUCUGAGUGGGAAGACUUUGGUUCAUUCUACUUUUCUAUUCCUCAGGUAAAUCGUCUUCCGACAUUUCAGCGCAUGACUGUCUAUUUACCGCAUUAUCCAGGCUGAAGUACCUGUUAUUUAGAGAAUUCAAAUGGCAGGUUGAAUUUAAUGAGCUUGAAGAAGGUUCAAAGCUCGCCAUAAACAUAGCGUGGGAUGACAGCCUAAGGUGGCCUUGGGAGAAGGCAAUGGAAGGUCUGCAUGAUACAAUGGAUCAGGUACUGAUGAUGGCGAGAGAUGCUUCAUUUGAUGGGAAAAAAAUCGCAAGUGCCCUUCAUGUAUUAAUUAAUUACACCUCUCUGUGUAGAUUUUUUUUCUUGUUUAGGUCAAUGGAGGGUUUUUUUUCUUGGCUAGUGCAUCAUUAUGUACCCCAAAAAUAGUAUUAAGGAUAUGUUUUCUGGGCACAGAUUUUGCCUUCCGAAGCUAAUCUGCAAAGGCAAGCCCCCAGAUCGACCGUUCUUAGUAGCAGUCACACUCCCAGCAAGGAAUACUGGGACGCUUCUGUUAAGAAGGCCUUACAGAUGAUCAAAGGAGAAAAUUCUGAUCUACUAAAGGUACAGAGCAGCUGUGUCAUUCAGUUUGGAUCCUUCAUACCAUAUUAAUAAUGAGCGCGUACAAGGUUUCAUUUUCCUGUUAUUUAUAUUUAGAAGUAUUCCACAUUCCUAUGAAAUUCGAUUUUUUUUUUUGAUUCCUAGAUGGAUCAAAUGGUCGUUUAUAAAUUUCUUCAAAUAAGUUAUACUCCUAGCCGAAUUCAUCAGUGUUUUGUGCUCAAAUAAUCUUAUUGUCACAGAUAACUGAGACUUGAGUAACGACGUAAAGGUGUGACUAAAAUAGUAAAAUCUAUGAAAAUUAUAAAAAUGCCCAUAAAUAUUUAUUUUCAUGAUAAAAGACAAAUGCGUAGAUUCAUGCACGUAUUCAAAUAACUUUAUUUUCCGGGUACCAUGAAAUAAUUUUGAAAAGGUGAGUAAAACAGGGCGACAACGGAUGAAAAUGUGUGACCUGACAUCCAGAAAACGUUUAUUUUGUUCUUGAUCGUUUCUUCUGCGUUUUAUGGAGUGGGGGAAAGCUCCCCUCACAUUUUGGAGAUCUAUGCUAUUGGAUGGGGAGUCCGACAGAAAUCUCCGCUUGAUGGUUAAUAAUUUCCAUUAUACCUGGAAAUUAUAUGACCUUGCAUCUCUUAAGCAUUCUCGAUCAAGUUUUACGUACUUUUAUGGAAUUUUCUUCGGUUUUUCUUAUCAUUUUUCCUCACCAUUCUUCCAAAAACUGGUGCCGCAUCUUCCCCCAGGUUGUGCUUGCACGAAGUAGUAGAAUUCUCACUGAUGCGGACAUCGACCCCAUAACAUUACUGGCAUGCCUACAGGUGUGAUUUUUUCUCUUACCCAUAUUUCUGUCACUCAUUUUUCUUAGUUUCCUGUUAGAUGAGCCAAAUAUGGCCUCACUUUAUGCGCAGAUGGAAGGACAGAAGGCGUACCAGUUCUGUAUUCAGCCAGCUGGAGGCCCUGCAUUCAUUGGGAAUACUGUAAGUUGACUGCGGCGUGGGUCAAUCCAUUUUGACUUUUUUCCAACUUCGUUAGUUUAGGUCAACGGAUAAUAUGCUUCCUAUUUUGUAAAUUUCGAUGAAUGGUUAGAUAAUGAAUUCAAAACCAAUGAUAUGCUCGGAUUGGGCACCAAAGAUUCAUGUUUUAAUCUAAAGACUGUCUGACGCUCUGUUCUAGGAUGAUCAUGGCUUAAGGGGUAGAUUUCUAAUGAAUUCCCCCGCAUUUUUAGAGAUAUUUGCGUUUCCCAUGCUUAAAUUAUAAUGUUUUUACUCUCGCAUUGACUCACAAGCUUGCCCCUCUACAAUUCUGAACCGAGCUCAGUGGUGAUCCCUUCUCAUUUUAGGAUCAUCAUCAUCAUCAUCUUAGUAAAGUGAUAGAUCAUAUUCUAUCAUCGUUGAUGUGGUCUCUUUUCUCAUCUUUUUGAAUGGGAGAAAUAGCAGUAGGCUACCACCACCUAUACUGGCCUAGUGUACCUUUCAUUGAUUUACAUCAUGAGUUUCAAAUAUUUUCAUCGUCAAAAAUAUAUAUUUUUCAUAUGAAUAAAUGGUUAAUAUCUUGCUCCACAUGACAUAUUCGACUAAAAAAAUUCCUUUUUUUGUGGAAAUCUUAACAGCCAGAACAGCUAUUUCACAAAGAAAAUUUGCAUGUUUGGAGCGAGGCGCUAGCUGGGACUCGGGCCAGAGGCAGAACUGUAAGGGAUGAUCUGAAAAUUAGACAGGAUUUACUUCUCAGGUAGUGCCCAUAUUUACUGACUCCUUUUAUAAAAUAAAUAAAUAAAUACAUAAAUUGAGAGGCUGAGAAUUUAUCCUUGGGCCUGGAAAUUUUGAUGCAUACUCAUCAAGAGUCUGGUCCUUUUUUAUUUCUGUAUGCAGCCCCAAAGAUGACGUUGAGUUUUCCAUAGUACGAGAGAAUAUUAGAACGAAAUUAGAGGCAAGUUAAUCCUGUAAUGUGGGGAAAUGUUGGAACUGAAUUUUCAUCAUGAUGAUCACCGCUCUCUUACUGUUUUUUUUUUUUGUUCUUGAUAAUAAUUCCGCGCAGAUUAUCUGUGACGAGGUGCGUGUAGAAUCAAAUAAAACCAUCAGGAAACUCCCCCGGGUGCAACAUCUCUGCGCUCGGUUAUCCGGCAGACUGAAGAGUGAGGAAGAUGAGGUAGACCCACCCAGAUAACAAUAUAAAUUCAGAGCAUAUGCGCAUUAAUUAAUUAAUUAAUCGCUUCAUAGCGCAGCUUCAUGGGUCUACAAUAUGCCCAGAUUUUAUAUAAAAUCUACUUCAGGACUUGGACGAUGUUUCAGCAUUCGGAUGUGUUUUGUUUGCAGUUCUAUGUUUUGACUCAUCUCCAUCCGACUCCAGCAGUUAGUGGAUUGCCCACUGAAGAGGCGCGCAGAUUCAUAGCCGAAAAUGGUCGGUAAAUUUUUCUGGUUCCUAUCAAAAUAGCAAUUCCGCUCUGUUUUUAUCUUUUUAAGGAAAUGUUCACGAAUUAAUUUAUAGUUAGCCAUACAUAAUCUCAAGUCUGGGUCAGAAAUUCGGUUUUUUUUAAGAGCUGCAAUUCUCUCAAACCAAAAAAAAUUUGCCGCCUCUCAGCAUGAUUCAGGCGAUCGAAUCAACCAAGUGUCGGAUUAUUCUCCUUAAUCUGCUCUCAUCUCCAUCAUUCUCCUUGGUCUGAUCACCUCCAGGGCCCCUUUUUUUUUUCUUGAGCACAAAAGAAGAAAAUCGCUAGUACACAUAAAUUGUUCGGAUGAACAAGAACCGUUGGGAGGUUCGACUGGGCAUGAGAUCGAGGCUUCGCCUCCCCCCCUAAGAAUCUGAUUGCCAGAUGAAACCCACUUAAUUUUCUUGAGAUCGCCUGCUCUCAGUUCCAUUAGAGAAAAAAAACUAUAUAUGCGUAUAUUAUUUAUUCAUCAUUCAGUUGAAGUGAGAUACUGUUUCGUUGGUCCUUCUCUAGAGGCGUUUGACCGUGGGAUGUACGCCGGCCCUGUGGGCUGGUUCGGGGGAAGCGAGACUGAAUUUGCCGUCGGCAUCCGGUCAGCUCUGGUGGGGAAGGUAACUUGUCGAACCCACGAUUUAUUAUUAAUUAUCUAUAAUUUUUUGCUCAUAAAGGCCGGUUCUUUGGAGUUAAACCUCAUUACCCAGAUAGCCCGAUCUUCCAACUUCCAUCAUAAUAACCGGCCAAAAUCUGGAUCCCAGGGGCUCGGCACGUUGAUCUACGCUGGGGCUGGAAUCGUCGAGGGAACCGUCUCGUCCUCCGAAUGGGACGAGGUCGAGUUGAAAGCCUCCCAGGUCUGCUUCUCUCUCUCUAUCUCUCUCUCUCUCUCUCUCUCUCUCUCUCUUUCUCUCUCUCUCUCUAGAUGCUGAUAAAUGAGGGUACUUGUGUGAGGCAGUUCACGAAGCUGCUGCAGUGCAAAGAGACCACCAGCCCCUCCGCGGUGGACCCGCAGGCGCUCGCAGUGCCCAAGAGCCUCAGGGGAGCCCUCCCCCGGUACAAACAGCCGAAAGUCUAGCCCUCAGCGUUAUCUGUGUGUGUGUGUGUGUGCAUGCCUCUCUCUCUCUCUCUCUCUCUCUCUCUCUCUCUCGCAUGGUGAUAUCGCGUGAAGUUGGCUAGUCUUCUAGUUUAUUUGUUCCUGAAAAAGCCAAUGCUUGUAUUUGCCGAACUAAUAAAAGCCAAUCCAAGAUCCCAAGGCUGGGUCAGCUCGGCCUGGACUGGGUCAACUCGGAUUCUUCCAUCGAUCCCAAGAAUGUGUCCGAAUAUAAAUAGGCAGCAGCACGCAGCGCAGAAAACAAUGGCGAAUGGGUCUUCCUCCUCCUUGUUCCUUCUCCCUGGGGGACCUCCU
rnacentral:lncRNA from 1 species